rnacentral:rRNA from 1 species
CCCUUAGAGUUUGAUCCUGGCUCAGAAUGAACGUUGGCGGCGUGGAUUAGGCAUGCAAGUCGAACGGGUCCGGUUCGCCGGACCAGUGGCGGAAGGGUGAGUAAGGCGACGGCAACCAACCCCGAGGUCGGGCAUAGCCGCGGGAAACCGCGGGUAAUUCCCGGCGACGCGACGACGUCGGCAUCGACGUUUCGCCAAAGGCUCCGGCCGCCUCGGGACGGGCCGUCGUGGUAUUAGGUAGUUGGCGGGGUCACGGCCCACCAAGCCAUCGAUGCCUACCGGGCGUGCGAGCGCGGCCCGGCACACUGGGACUGAGACACUGCCCAGACUCCUACGGGAGGCUGCAGUCGAGAAUCUUCGGCAAUGGGCGCAAGCCUGACCGAGCGACGCCGCGUGGAGGACGAAGGCCUUCGGGUUGUAAACUCCUGUCGAGGGGAAGGAAGGGGCAACCUUGACCGAUCCCUGGAGGAAGCGCGGGCUAAGUUCGUGCCAGCAGCCGCGGUAAGACGAACCGCGCGAACGUUAUUCGGAAUUACUGGGCUUAUAGAGCGUGUAGGCGGAUCGGCGCGUCGGAUUCUGAAAGCCCCCGGCUCAACCGGGGAAGCGGAGCCGAAACGGCCGGUCUAGAGGGAC